GUCAACACAGGGAGGGGUGAAGGAGUAAGGAGCCACAACAGGUCAACACAGGGAGGGGUGAAGGAGUAAGGAGCCACAACAGGUCAACACAUGGAGGGGUGAAGGAGUAAGGAGCCACAACAGGUCAACACAGGGAGGGGUGAAGGAGUAAGGAGCCACAACAGGUCAACACAGGGAGGGGUGAAGGAGUAAGGAGCCACAACAGGUCAACACAUGGAGGGGUGAAGGAGUAAGGAGCCACAACAGGUCAACACAUGGAGGGGUGAAGGAGUAAGGAGCCACAACAGGUCAACACAGGGAGGGGUGAAGGAGUAAGGAGCCACAACAGGUCAACACAGGGAGGGGUGAAGGAGUAAGGAGCCACAACAGGUCAACACAUGGAGGGGUGAAGGAGUAAGGAGCCACAACAGGUCAACACAGGGAGGGGUGAAGGAGUAAGGAGCCACAACAGGUCAACACAGGGAGGGGUGAAGGAGUAAGGAGCCACAACAGGUCAACACAGGGAGGGGUGAAGGAGUAAGGAGCCACAACAGGUCAACACAGGGAGGGGUGAAGGAGUAAGGAGCCACAACAGGUCAACACAGGGAGGGGUGAAGGAG